rnacentral:rRNA from 1 species
AGCGAACGCUGGCGGCAGGCCUAACACAUGCAAGUCGAGCGCCCCGCAAGGGGAGCGGCAGACGGGAGAGUAACACGUGGGAACGUACCCUUCAGUUCGGAACAACCCAGGGAAACUUGGGCUAAUACCGAAUACGUCCGUAAGGAGAAAGAUUUAUCGCUGAAGGAUCGGCCCGCGUCUGAUUAGCUAGUUGGUGAGGUAACGGCUCACCAAGGCGACGAUCAGUAGCUGGUCUGAGAGGAUGAUCAGCCUCACUGGGACUGAGACACGGCCCAGACUCCUACGGGAGGCAGCAGUGGGGAAUAUUGGACAAUGGGCGCAAGCCUGAUCCAGCCAUGCCGCGUGGGUGAUGAAGGCCCUAGGGUUGUAAAGCCCUUUCGGCGGGGAAGAUAAUGACGGUACCCGCAGAAGAAGCCCCGGCUAACUUCGUGCCAGCAGCCGCGGUAAUACGAAGGGGGCUAGGCGUUGCUCGGAAUCACUGGGCGUAAAGCGCACGUA